CGAAAAAUUUCAUACAUAGCACGUUGUAUUUUCCUUUCUUGUGUGCAUUUCUGUAGUCGAAGUCACAUAUCAGAUCACACACAGUUUAAAUACAAACCUAAAAGUAGGAAGACGUGCGCGGAAUAAAUGAAAAAAAAGCAAAUAAAGUGGUUUAAAAAAAAAAAACAACAGACGCUGAAAAAAUAGUGGAAGGCAUCAACAGGCUAAAGAUUGACAUCGAUAUCAACGGAUAUCAUAGCAAACAAAUAGGGAUGUUUUUGACAAGGAACCAAAGUGUUUAGGAGAAGCGGUUUGUUUCAACUUUUGGAAGAGUGGAUAGACGACGAGAAAGAAUAAGAUUCCAAAAAUGCCGUCCUUAUGCACACCAUAUGUACUUAACAAGACACGAUCAAAGACUACCAGGAACUUUUCUUCUUUACUUCUAAAACCCCUCCAUAGGUGGACGACCAGCUGAUGGGUUCCAUGCUCAAAUUCU